rnacentral:lncRNA from 1 species
UAUAAUGUUUUCUAAAAUUAUAAAAUUAGUUAAAAUUAAAUAAUUAAAUUUUCGCUCAUUUUGAAUAUAUUUAAAUUUAAAUAUUAUACAUAUUUCAUUUAAUAAUUUUAAAAUAUAUUAAUUUUUUCAUUUCCAAUAUAUUCACAUUAAGUGAACAUUAAUCAAUUAAGUGAACAGUAUUUGGUUAAAUAAACAAUAACCGAUUCAACCAUAUUCCCUGUACAUUAUGGUUUGUGUAGGGACCCCUCCCUCUGGGAAACACGUGGCACGUGUCACCAGCCGGACCAUCAUCAUCCGGACCAUGACCAUCCGGAUUCCCCUAAAGGAUAAGCACGAUGCAACUCUCCUAUCCGGACCGCCUCAAGGGAAGGCAAACGACGUUUCAACUUCUCCUAUCCAAGGAAGAGCAAACGUCGCUGACAAAACACAGACAUCCGGACAACCUUCACAAUGCAUCCGCUCCACAACACAUCCGGGCAAUUAGCAUGAGCCAUCCGGAUAUAAUCGUCCGGAUCAUCAAUUAAGGUAAAGCGAGUCUUAUAUGCUAUCACGACAACCAGCCAUGACCCACGUCCCAUCACCUGCAGAGUGAAAGGACGGGUUGAGGUGACAACAAGUCACUUCCCACGAUCAUUUUACAUGAUCGCUUCCCACGAUCUCUAGACAGCAGCAUCACCUACCACGAUUUCUGACAGCCGCCAGUAGGGUGGCGAUGACCAUGCUGCCUCCGAAUGUCAUCAUGACAAACAUAAAAUAUCUCCUCGCCAUUAAUGAGAGGAAUAGUACCCCUGAAGCUGUAUAUAUACAUCUUCGCACGAAGAAGAAGGGGAUCCCCCUGGUAACCUCCUAAUACCUGGUAAAAGGCCAACUGAUUUAUAUUCCUCUCUCUGACCAUGGCUAACAAAACCAUCGGAGGGUGCGUCCGGACACCCUAUCCGGAUGCCUUCUUGCAGGUAUAACGACUGGAUCAAGAACCUUUAUAAGUUGAAAUCACGCGUCCAUCCAUCUGGCAACUACGUGGAUCAUCAAAGACGCGAGGUAUCAACAGUUUGCAAAUUUUAUUUUUAUGAUUUAGAAAAAGGAAGUAAUUUACAGUUAAAAAUGAGUAAGAAUAAACAUAUUCCAAUUUUUAUCUUUAAAAAAUAAAUAUUUAAUUUAAAAAAAAACCAUUUUGAGUGGAAUUUGGAAGUUGGUGAUCAAACUCGAGCCAAAAGCUAAUUUUUCUUCUAAACUAUUAAAAUAUAUGUAUAAUUAUAAAAAUACUAAAAGAAUGUUUGACAGUAUUUUAGCUCGUACUAUUAUUAGUAAAAAUAUUUUUAUGAAAACCACUUAUUAAGCAUUUAUUAAAAAACAAUAAUUAUUUUUAAUAUUAUAAAUAAUUUUUAAAAAUACAUUUAAAAUUUUUGACUUUGUUUUUUAAAGACACUUUUUAAACUAAAGAGGCUUCAUAAAAUCAUUGCUCAACGGAACCUAAUAAAUUAGAUUUGAGUUGAUUAGGGUUGUCCGAACAAUUCGUUGGCUUGGAUUUGAAGUCAGGCAAAACUGGAUCGAAAAUUUGUCAUUACAAUUCAUGAUCCAAACCCACUAAAAAGUCGUGUUGGACAUUAGGUUGGGUCAGCCCAACCAAAUAAUAGACAAAAGAAGAAAACAGAGACCAUGGGCCGCUCUUGGGCCUUAUGGUCAUCAGGUCGUUAACCCACAAAUAUAGUUUCUAUUAAUAUAUUGAAGAUUAGAACCGUUCUACCAAAUUGAAUUCCACUUGGAAUUCGUCUUUUAAAAAUACGCAAAAAAUAAAAAAUAAAAUUACUCAUUUAUUAAAAAGAUGAGUUUAAUGGAAAAAUAUAACGGAAAAAGGAGAUUAAUAUUCGGUAUAGUAAAAAAUGUUGUAUUUUUGUAUUUAUUUUUAAAAAAUUAAUUUUUGAUAAUAUUCUUUUAAAAAUAAUAUUAUUUUAAUACAAAAUUUCAAAAAAACCACUUUUAAAAAAUGAUAUAAAAUAACAUAUAGUCCUCAAAAAUAAUAUUUACAAGAGAUUUAUAAUGUGUUUGGUAAUGGUUUUAAAAAAUAUUUUUAGUUUUUUUAAAUACUUGAAUAAUAUAAAUUUUCAAGUGUUAAAAAUGAUUUCAAAAAUUACUACUACACGCAAUCUUAAAAAGUAAAGCAAAAAUACCUUAAAGAAAUAAAAAAUAAUAAUACGAAAUAAUGUGAUAGGUAUUGAAUCAUAUUGGCCUCCCUAUUUUACGGGUCAGACUAUAAUACGAAAAAUCAACUUUUCGGUAUCAUGCCUCCACCUAUCAUCAAAUAGGAUAUUGACAUCUGUAAAAAUGUAACAAAAAAAUUGAAAUGGAGGGCAAGGGCCGCAAGGCAAAACCGUCCAAGAGAAAUAAAAGGUGACAAUGUGAAAUAAUGUGAUAGGUAUUGAAUCACAUUGGUUAUCAAAAAUCAAUAAAAAAUUAAAUAAAAAUAAUUAAAAUGAAGGGCCCAGAUUUCAUUUUACACAUCCAAUGAUGGCAAGAGAAUCUUCCAUAUCCACCCCGGCGAUAAUUCUGCCUUCCUUUGUGGUCCACUUGUGGUAAAUGGUAAAUUUUGUAAAUUACUCUCUCUUCUAUUUUCAUUUUUUAAAUAAAUAAUUUUAUUUCUCCUUUUUUUAAACACAUUUUUAAUUUUUAAAAUAAUUUGCAUUUAUAAAUUAAUAAUUUAAUAUAGAAAAAAAAUCAUUGCCAUGAGUCAAAAAGGUAAAAAAUACUACUAUUUUUUUUUUUCAAUUCAUUUUUUAAUUAUAAAUAAUAAAUUAAUAUUCCUAAUUAUUAUAUAAAAAGAUGGGAGAAUAUUCCUAAUUUAAAUAAAUAAUUUCAUGUCUCCCUAUUUUUUUUUGUUUUUAACUAAAAAGCCCAAGUAGGGGGACAUUAUGAUUUUGUUCCCUCCAAUGCAGGAACCAUGGCAUUUUUUCGAAAUCUAAUAGGAAAGGGUAUUUACAUAAUUUCAUAAGGGAGAAUAUAUCAUACUAAGCCUGGAAGCCCCCACAUAUUCCAUUUUUGUUAAGAGGAUAACAAGGGAAGCCGGUGGUACUAAGAGCUCUCGAGAGAGAAAAUGGCGAUGUCUUUGGGGGUUAUCUCUACCUUCUUCUCCGGCGAAACGGCGUCGUUUUCUAAGUCUGCGUUGUCCUUGACAUCACUCCGGCACCUUCCGCCUCCUUCUCCUCAUACUAACCUGCGCCUGGUGCGAACCGUAACCUCGGCUGCCGCGUCGAAGCCGCCGGCUGCGGCCACCGGCAAGCGGGAGCCUCGAGGCAUCAUGAAGCCCCGCCGGAUUUCGCCGGAAAUGCAAGACUUUCUCGGCGUCCCCGAGAUUCCUCGGACCCAAGCGCUGAAGCAGAUUUGGGCUUAUAUCAAGCAACACAAUCUUCAGGUCUUGUCCAUAAAUCCUUUUAUCUUUUUGAGCAAUGGUUUAUCUGUGAAACUGUGUUAUUGUUGAAUGGGGUUUUAGAUGGGUUUUAUGUAUGGAUAAGGUUAUGUUUGUCUUAUUUUGCUUCUGUUGCCCUUUCUGAGUUCGGUUUUCUUGGGGUUUUUGUAUGUUCCUACAUAUUUUAUUCAGUGUUUUUUAAGAACUAUAUUUGGAUAAAGCCAUGUUGGUGUAGAUUAAAUGCGGGUUCUGUUUUUAUUUUUGCUGAGUUUAGUUUCAUUGGGGAUUUGGAUGGGGUUUAUACGGUGCUCCUAUAUUUGGAUAAGGCUGUGUUUUGGUGCGAUUGGAAUGUGCUUUUGUUAUUGCUAUACCUGAUUUUGGUUCUCUUGGGUUUUGAGAUUGGUUUUUGUGUUGCCUGUGGCCUGGAAUCUGUAAGGCAAUGUGGGUAUAGUCAAGUUGUGGGUUUUCGUUAUGAGUGGAAAUUGGUUUGGUCCUCUUGAGUUUAGAUGGUAUUUGGGAGUAGUUGUUUUUGUACCUUCUUAUGUUUGGAUAAGGUUGUAUUUUGCAGAUUAAAUGUUGGUUUUGACAUUACUGGGACUGAUUUGCUUCUGUCUCGUUAUUGGAAGGCUUUACUUUUUAUGGUCGGAAUAGGUUUUGUUUUAUGGAGGUAUUGUCAAUAGAAUGGAGUUUCCAUUAAGUUUAUACAUGGAUUUAUAUAUUGAGAUGGAUGAACUGAUGAAGCUUUAUUCUUGUAGAUGAAAUGUGGGCUUUAAAUGGCUAGAACUGAGGUUGGUUUCAAUGGGUUUUAGUUGGGUUUAUAUGCUGUUUCUUUGGGGUGUUUUUUCAUUUUGGCAAGGCCAUGGUAUGUGGUUUUGAUUACUUCAAUAGAUGAGUUUGAUGCUAUUCAAUUUAUAUGUAUUUGUAAUUGGAUUGAACAGGGUAAGGUAUAAUGAUAUAGAUGUAAUGGGAGUUUUGCUAUUUUUAGGAAUAGAUUUGAUUGUAAUUUGUUUUUUUGAAGUGUUUUUUAGUUUUUCUUAAUGUUUUGGUAUUGAGAUGAGGUUUUUUUGUUGCUUCUUAGAUGCUGCUCCUGAGCUUGGUUAUAUUGAGAUUUAGGUAGUUUAUUUGUCCUUUGUCUGAUGUUUCUGUUUUCGGAAAGUAUCUAUGAGAUUCUGGGUUUUGUUAUUGCUCUACCUUAGUUUGAUGUGUUAAUAUUGAUAUUAAUAUAGUUUUUUUUUUAAUGUUUCUGUAUUUGGAUAUGAUUGCCUGUUUGUUUGUAUACGCAUAUAACCUUAAAUGCAUAUGUAUUUGUAUAUAUGAGACCAUGGGUUCAGUUAUUGCUCCACCAUAGUUUGAUGAUUUGGGUUUUUAGAUGUGUUAAUGUCAAUAUUAAUAUAGGUUUUUUUUUGGAAUGUUUCUGUAUUUGGACAUGGUUGUGUCAUGCCUGUUUGUUUGUAUACACCACUACCUUAAAUGCAUGUGUUGGUUGUUUCAUUUGCCUUUUCCAUAUACACGACGUUAAAUGCAAUUCCUGGUUACUUGCAUGCAUAAGGGAGCUAUUUUUAUUUUGUCAAAAAAAUGAAAUAAUGGAAAAUAGGGUAUUGAUGUUGCUGGGUAGUUGGAGGAGAUAUUUGUUGAUAUGCUCUGCUGUUGAAGCAUUUGCAUGAUAUAAGAUGUAAUUAUUCAUCCUUACUUUGACAUUAGCAUCCUUCUGCACCCUGAGAGAAAAUGAAACUGCUUUCCUUUAUUUUGGCCUAUUACAAAUCUUAUAAUAGACUAUUAACAAAAUCUUGCUUUCUGAUACAUUAAUGUUCAGUGUUACUUCUUUGGAAUAAUUUCUUAAUCCGAUUUCCUCUAGCACCAAGCAACAACCUGUUGGAAAAGCUCAUUGCUUAUAUAUAUUGCAUAGUUUUAAAAGGCGUGCUUUAAGUGUGACUAAGCUCAAGGGGCAACCACUUCGUAGUUAUAGUGCCUCGCUUGCCAAGAUAUGCGCCUUAUUGAAGGGGCGUGCCUUAUCGAUUUUACUCUUCCUUUUUAAAUGCUUUUAUUUUUGAAAUUUCUAGUUGUAUAUUGAAACUUGUAUAAUUUCAUUAUUUUUUUUUUAUUGAAUGCUUCUUUUAAAUGUUUGGAAUCUUAAAUUUUUUAUUGAUUGGAUUAGAUUUUGAAUAAUAUUUUAUAGGAUUGAUAUGCAUCCCAGGUCACAUUUCACUUCACUUAGACGCGCGUCUUGUGUUGCGCCUUGCGCCUGAGCUAUAGGAGACUUUUACCCCUUAGGUGUGUCUUGCGCCUUUUAAAACUAUGAUAUAUUGACUUAUUGUUUAUCCUUUUCCAUUGUGCUACUGUUCUCAUGUACCUUAUUUGUUGAUUUAAAUCCAAUUCUGUCACUGUCAUUUUGGUGUUAUUCUUGUUCUUUCUUUCCUCACAUCUGCUGUGUCAUUUCGGUGUUGAUAUAUGAAUAAUAUUUAUGGAUAUAUUUCUUCAAGAGCCAGUGUAAAGUUUUCUUUGUUGGGAUUCAAUUUGUUUGUUUUUAUUUUGUGGAUAAUGUUUGGAUCUUUCAAAGUGGUCAGUGUGAGGGAAGCCUGAUAUGGUGUUUUGCCUUAAUUAUUAUUUUUUGUGUUUUAUUUGGAUAGACUUCUUAAAUGUUAAAAAUGAAAACGAUGUGGCUUUUGAUCAAACUGACAAAGGAUAUCUUAGCACAUUUAUAGCAUAACUCAACCCAGCAAAGCUUUUUUCCCAAUUAAUUUGGACUUGCCAAUCAACUAUUUACAAAGGCAAUAUUUGACACAGAUAAGAUAUCGGAUGAGGGGUGACUUCUGCACUUGGUGUUCCAAGCUGUUCAUAUAUAAUGUGGGGCAGCUUGCUUUGCAUUACCCCUUCUCUAAAGAACUCACCCACCUGUAUAAAUAUUAACCCUUUAAUGCGACUAAAAUUUUUUGUUUUACCCUUCUAUUUGACUAAUGUAUGAGGGUUAUGCAGUUAUAUUAUAGGUGGGUUUAGAUCACAUUUUGAUUCUUGUGGGGCUACAUUUUAGUUGGACAGUUGUACCUUUAGUUUGCCUUUCUCUACCCCUCCCUGUUCAAUUUUGCAUUUGUGUGUGUAGAUUGUGGCUGGAAUUUAGUUAUGCUAUUUAUGUAUUCAUCUAUAAUUUGGUUCUGACGUGGUUUGUCCUUUUCCCUGCUAGGAUCCUGAAAACAAGAAGAUUAUAGUCUGUGAUGAGAAACUGAAGAGUAUAUUUGCAGGGAAGGACCGCGUUGGUUUUCUUGAGAUUGCAGGGUUGAUUAAUCCACACUUUCUUAAGUGAAACUCAAUCUGCAAGAGGAUGGAUUUAGAACUAGAAAACCAGCUAUGAAGCAAAUUUUGCACAAGGGCUCUCUGUUGAGUUGGUGAUAUCACUCAAUAGAAGUGGGAGCGCUUUAUGCGACUUAGUACUUAAUCUUCAGUUCUGGAACCUGCAUAUAGUAACUGGCUUUUUUGGUUUUGUUGAGUGGGUCUGUUUCUAGGAUUAUGCAGGCUAUCUAAUGCAAUAUUUUCAGACGCCCAGCCCAAUUUUUUUAAUUUUAGUUAAUAUCUUGAGCUUUUGCUGGAAUCUUGUGUGCUUAAGGUGUGCAAUGGUUCUUUCUGUUUAACCUUUUCUGCAGGUGUGCAAGCAGGAGUGUUUUAGUUAAAACAUUCGGCCUGCCCCUAAGCCCAGUGGGGAAUCUGCAUAAAACCUAAAAUGUGCAUCAAAGCCCUGAUUGACUGGCAUUUUUCCCUAAGAAGUUUGCAUUGCAAUUUGUAGUAAAAGCAUAUAUUUGGGAGGAGAAAUUUCCCUGUCUCAUUUGAGUGGGGAGUGUGGCUUUCGCCCAAUUGCUGUUUCUUUUUUCACUGUGAAUGAGGGAAUGUGGUGUGGAAUAAGGCAUUUUGUGUCUUCAUUCUUAGAUUGUUGAGUGGGUUUUGUUUAAGCCAUCAUCAUCCUAGUCUUGAUGCAGGAUGGAGAAUUUUGUGGAGGGUUUGCAUCAGAGGAACCAGAAUGCCUUUUUAUUAUGCUAAUUUUCAGAACAAUGAUUGUGGUUUUAGCUGCCGGAACGCAUGCAUGUGAUAUUGGUUAAGGUCCAGGAACAUUUAUGAAUUAUGAAUAUUCAUUGCCGGUGUUGCCUGAUGUCGGAGUUCAGCCCAGUGCAACCACAAGGGUUAUCACUGGCCUAUGUUUGGAAAGAAAAUAGGAAAAUGUAUAAAGAAAGAAAAUGCUUGAGGAAAGAAAAAUUUAAAGAAAAUAAAAAAUAGAUUUAAAUUUAAUAAAUAAGUUUUUUUUUAAAAUUUUAUUUCAAACUUAUUUUAUUUAUUUAUAUAAAGAUUAAAUAAUUUUAAAAUAUGUAAAUUUUAAUUUUAUAUAUAUAUAUAUAUAUAUAUAUAUAUAUAUAUAUUGAUAAGAAAAUUACUUUUCUUAACCAUUUGUGUUUUAACAAAAAAGUAAGACAUAACCUUAAAUUAGAGGGAAAAUUUGAAAAAAAGAGUAUGUGGGACUUAUUCUCAAAAAAUGAGACUAAAAAUUGCACUCGUCAUAAAAUGGCGAGAUGAUUUAGCUCAUUAUUUGUUUGAUCAAUAAAAUCCCUUCACAUCUCUUUUGGGCGAUCUAGUCUUAUCCCGUUAAUUCAAAUAAUUUAUAUCUUAAUUUCUAUUUUUUUAUUUAAAUCCUGUCUCAUUAAUUCUAUCUUUUUAUUUAAAUCCUGUCUCAUUAAUUCAAAAGAAUUUUUAUCAUCGUCUCAUUAAAACAGACGAGACAAAUAUGGGAAUUUCCUGUACUGAUAUCCAUCAUGCUUCAUCAUGUUUAACUUAUUUUUGAAAUUUUUUACAUUUUUUAAUUAUAUUAAAAUAAAUAGUUUUUUUAAAUAAUUAAAAUAUUAUAAUUUAUUUGAUUGACAAGUACUUAUUUUAUAUAUAUAUAUAAUAAAAAAUUAAAAAUUUAAAUUAAAUUCAUUUUUAAAUUUAAUUUAUAUAUAAUUGAGGUGGAGUAGGAUAAAACAAUACCAAAACCCAUCUUUUAUCUAUCGUUCUAAAAAAAAUUCAAACUCAUCCACAGCUCAUUGAUUUAAAUUUCAAAUGGAAUGGGUAUUCGAACACCAUUGCUAUCCUAAGUGGGUGCCAUUUUAUAUCCAUUUCCGACAAGCUUUUAUCCAACCAUGUCAUGAAGGGACAAAUAGUGCCAUGAGCACAAGAAGCCCUCAUGGGACCGUUUGAUUAAAGACCCAAGGAAAUAAGGUUUGGAAGCUCCAACUAAAAAACCAACCACUAGCUUCCAACGUCCUCUUCUCAUGAGCAAAUGGACAUUUGGAGUCAACAACCUCGGAUGGAGUUAAGGCUAAAUUCGAGAAAUAGGGAUGAUGCACGAUCACAUCCAAUUACAAGGUAGAUUCAUCUACAAUCGAUGCUCACUGGUGAGAGAAAGGAAUGAAAGCAUCAAGCUAUAUCACAAACCUCUACCCAGAUUUACUAUCCUCAAAUUUAAUCUCUUUCAUGAAAAAACUGAUCCAUACAUAUAUGAGUGAUUACUUUGAGACAAACAAUGAGUCUUAUUGUACAACAUUCUUCCUUCAAGCCUGCAAGGCAUGUAGUAAUUUUUUUUGGUAUCCAUCCCUAAUAAGAUCGGUUUGGGAUGAAAAUGUAUAGGUAAAGGACAAUUUUGAGAUGUUUUUUUGAAAUCUGAGGUGGGUAUUUUCAUACUAACAUUAUAAUAAAAAUCCAUCCUUGUAAAGAGUAUUGUGAAGAACCGUCCCGAGUAGCAGAGGAAUUUAAAUUGAGUUAUUAUUGUUAUUUUCGUAAAAAUUUUCUGUGGGUAAUAUGAAUGGGUGAGGCAUGUGGGUGAAGCCAGCCACAGCGAAGGGAAGAAUCCAAACCCAUCUCCCUCCCGAGUAUAGUCACUUGAGUCUUGGAAGAUUUUUUCCACUUUCUCAUCUUUCAAAAACCACCACAAAACCCACUUACCAAACUCUCUCUCAAUCCCUUCUCUCCCCCGCAUACAAGCUGUUUUGAUGGCAGAGAAGCUGAAGCUCUCUCUCCCGGUUCUCCUACCAGGUCCACCUCCCUCAAAACCACUCUUCUCAGACCACCACUUGUCCACAACCCCCUCUCCGCCACCUCCCAUUACCCCUCUUCUCCAAAACUUCCAACCGCAUACCCAAACCCCAAACCCCCAAUCCCCAAUAAUCCCCAGACGCCGCAGACGUAUCGGGAAGUCUCAAGACGCCAACCGUGGAAAGCCAUGGUCUCACGGCCGUCUCUCGCCGCCAGGUCAGCGAAUUCUGCAAACCCUAAUCGACCCCACAUUUAAUCUUGCUCAAAUUGAUGAGCUCUUACUUGAAUUGUUCGAACAACAGCCGGGAGAAUCGGAUUUUAGUGUGGAGUCGCUGUCUUUGGAUGUUUUGGGUAUUGUCAAGGGUUUAGGGUUUUACAAAAAAUGUGACACUGCUUUGAGGGUAUUCGAGUGGGUUCGGAAUCGGAAAGAAUCUGAAUUAUUGUUGAAUGGUUCGAUUAUUGCUGUCAUUAUAAGUAUUCUUGGGAAAGGGGGUCGGGUUUCGGCUGCGGCUUCUUUGCUUCAUAAUCUUUGUAAAGAUGGGUUUGAUGUUGAUGUUUAUGCGUAUACUUCUAUGAUAACUGCAUUUACCAGCAAUGGGAGGUACAGGGAGGCUGUGAUGGUUUUUAAGAAAAUGGAGGAAGUGGGAUGCAAACCUACUUUGAUAACUUACAAUGUGAUUUUGAAUGUGUAUGGGAAAAUGGGUAUGCCCUGGAAUAAAAUGGUUGGUCUUGUUGAUAGAAUGAAGAGUGCCGGGAUUGCCCCUGAUUCAUAUACUUAUAACACGCUUAUAAGUUGUUGUAGGCGGGGGAAUUUGUAUGAAGAAGCAGCAGGGGUUUUGAAGGAGAUGAAAUUAGCAGGAUUUAGUCCUGAUAAGGUGACUUAUAAUGCUUUAUUGGAUGUUUAUGGGAAGUCUAGGCGAUCCAAGGAGGCCAUGGAGGUCUUGCAGGAGAUGGAGGGUAAUGGGUGUCCCCCUAGUAUCGUGACUUACAAUUCAUUGAUUUCAGCUUAUGCCAGAGAUGGGUUAUUGGAAGACGCCUUGGAGCUCAAAAACCAGAUGGUGGAAAAGGGAAUUAAACCUGAUGUUUUUACUUACACUACUCUUUUGUCAGGAUUUGAGAAGGCUGGGAAGGAUAAGGCUGCGGUUCAGAUUUUUGAGGAGAUGAGAAAUGAAGGUUGCAAACCCAAUAUUUGUACAUUCAAUGCCCUGAUUAAGAUGCAUGGUAACAGGGGAAAGUUUACAGAAAUGAUGAAAGUUUUUGAAGAUAUCAAGACAUUCCAGUGUUCACCUGAUAUUGUUACAUGGAAUACACUUCUUUCUGUGUUUGGGCAGAAUGGGAUGGACUCUGAAGUUUCAGGAGUGUUUAAGGAAAUGAAGAGGGCGGGCUUUGUGCCUGAGAGGGAUACUUUCAACACCCUAAUCAGCUCCUACAGUCGAUGUGGAUCAUUUGACCAAGCCAUGGCUGUUUAUAAGAGGAUGCUGGAGGCUGGGGUCAAUCCUGACCUUUCCAGUUAUAAUGCUGUUUUAGCAGCAUUGGCUCGGGGUGGGCUUUGGAAACAAUCUGAGAAAGUACUUGCAGAAAUGAAGGAUGGUCGAUGCAAACCUAAUGAGCUGACAUAUUGUUCUUUGUUACAUGCUUAUGCCAAUGGGAAGGAGAUUGAACGAAUGUGUGCUCUUGCAGAAGAAAUAUACUCUGGCAUAAUUGAACCUCGUGCAGUGCUCUUGAAGACCCUUGUUCUAGUAAAUAGCAAGUGUGACCUUCUAAUGGAAACAGAACGAGCUUUCUUGGAGUUGAGACAGCGAGGGUUUUCACCUGACAUAACUACUCUUAAUGCCAUGGUUUCCAUCUAUGGCAGGAGGCAGAUGGUUGCAAAAGCAAAUGAAAUUUUGGAUUGCAUGAAAAGGGGUGGGUUCACUCCAAGCUUGACAACUUACAACAGCUUGAUGUACAUGUACAGCCGGUCUGCAAAUUUUGAAAGAUCAGAAGAAAUCCUGAGGGAAAUUCUGGCAAAAGGAAUAAGGCCUGAUAUCAUUUCAUACAAUACUGUUAUUUAUGCCUAUUGUAGAAAUGGUCGGAUGAGAGAUGCUUCACGGGUACUCUCAGAAAUGAGGGAGUCUGGGCCUGCUCCAGAUAUAAUUACUUAUAAUACCUUUAUUGCAAGUUAUGCAGCUGAUUCCAUGUUUGUGGAGGCUAUUGACGUUGUCUGUUACAUGAUCAAGCAUGGCUGUAAACCAAACCAAAGCACAUACAAUUCCAUUGUAGAUUGGUACUGCAAGCUUAAUCGCAGAGAUGAGGCAAGCAUGUUUGUCAACAACCUUCGCAAGCUUGAUCCACAUAUUUCCAUGGAUGAAGAAUGUAGGUUAUCAGAACGAAUGGCAAAGAAAUGGUCAUAGGAACCCUUUUCUACAAAUAAUAUUACAGGUCAGUGAACACUCUUCUUGGCCUAUAAUACUCCUGUGCAUCCAGCCCUGUAUCCUGUCUUCCUGUGCCUGUGUUGUGUAUUAUCCAGGCAUGGAAAUUAGCAGAUAUGAUAUUGUUGUACAUAAAUAUUUUUGUCCCUUUUGGAGGUUUAAGAGCUAUAGAUGAUUCAUCAACAUCCGAGUUUGAACUAUUUUUGCUGGUUUGGCAUAUAUGGCCAUCGGCAAUCUUGUAUGUUUCAGAUGAGAGAUGAUGGAAGAGCUGAAUAACUUCCAGGUAUGUAUAGUAAACCUUUGUAGCACUCAAAUGAGAACCACUGAAUAACUUAAGUGGUUGUUUCUGUUAGUUCUUGCAACAUAUUUUUGACAAUCAAGUUGUAAUUUUGAGCUUUUUUUCCCCUUAACAUCUCAUUGUGUGUCAGUUUUAUUUAAUUGCCUCUACAUCAGCAAAAAAGUGAAUAUUGUAGUUUGGUGGUCUGUUGCCCUAAUGUGGGUAGUGAGAAAUAUGCAUCCAUUGAAUCUUCACUCGAAUUGUUCUGAUAUGUAUGUUAUGGCAUUUAGCUUGAUUGAUGGUCAUUAGAAUGGGGUAGCGUUGGUCCACAAUUUUGGUGUAUUAUGCAUAUACAUAGUUGGAGGUGGACACAUUCACUGAGAAAAACAGGUGUGGGAAGAUGCGCUUGGAGGAGUAUGGUUCAUGUGAUGAUUUCAUUCAGCAUAUAGUAUUUGCAGACUUGAUCAAUCAUAUUCAAUACUUGGGUUGACUUGGACUCAAUUUAGGUUGGGUUCAGACCAAGGUUUGGACAUCUCGAGUCUAACCCAAACUUGGUUUAAUGUUUUUAUGAUAUUUAUUGCAUAUUAUACUAUAUAAUAAUCUUUAUUUUCUUUUUAUAUAUAUAUAUUUUAAAAAUAUUAAAUUAAUUAUAUUAUAUAUAUAUUUUUUUAUUUUUUUAGAAAAAUAUAUAAAUUUUUGUUUAUUUUUUUGUUGCUAUCUUGAAAUUUUGUCCAAUUUACUAUUUAAAUUUUAUAUAAAUAUAUGGAAAAAAGUUUUUCAAAAAGUAUUAUAAAUGAAUUUUGAAUUAAGCAACCCGAUCAAUCCCAACUUAACCCCAUCAACCUAGUCUAACUUAAACUAUCAAAGCUUAAUAUGACUUUAAAAAAAUGAGGUUGAGUUGGACUUGGGUUGAGUCCCUUGGGUUAGAGGUUGGGUUGAGAUCGAUUGAUUGUUUCUUAAUUGAGAUUUUGCUCUAGUUGGUUAUCAACUGAUCAGUUUGCCCAAGUUGCAACCCUAAGUAUUUGUGAUUCUAUGAUAUAAAUUUCUUUAUUAUUAUUAUUUUUAAAUUCUUCCAAGUAAUUUUGAUAUUAUAAUUUAAUUUAAUACGUAAUUUAGUAAUUAUUUGAUGUAUAUUAAACUAACAAAUAUUUAUAAUUUAAAUUCAAAAUUGUAAUUGUAAUUCAAAUAAUUACAUUUUUGUAAACAUUUAAUUUGCAUUUAAUUUUAGUUUUUUUUUUAAUUUUAAUAAAUAUAAUGCAAAAAUAUUUAAUAUAAUUUUUAUGGAUUUUAAUAUAUAAUUUAUUGAGAUUUAUGUUUCUUAAAUUAUAAAUUAUAACUUCUUAUUCAUAGUUAUAAGUUAUAAUUUCCUUUUGAAAUUUAUUAAUUAAAAUUAAAGAAUAUGAAUCGGGCCACAAUUGUUGGGUCCUGUUUCCGAGCCUGAGGCCCAUGUGGCUGGGCUCUGGGCUUGAGAUGCGGCGGAGAGGGCUGAACCCCUUCCGUCGGCCCAAAAUAGCCAACUGAGCCGGUCUGAUCGAGCCAAUUGAACGACCCCAAAUUAUAUCCAUGUGUGUUGGUCAGCAUCAUCAAGAAAGAUGGACUUUUUUUAAUAGUACGGUAAUUUAAAAAAGUUAUGCUUAAAUUAUUAUAGUAGAAGAAGUUAUUACAAAUAUAUGGUAGUUUUUGCCACAUAAGAGAGAGGAGAUAGGAGAGAGGAGAGAUGGUGAACGGAUAAUUUUUUUUAAAACCAAAAUCAUCUUUCAAACAAAGGGAACUCGUCUCUUGAAGAGACGAGUUCCAUAAAAAAAAUAUAUAUAUAUAUUUUUAAAAAAUUCCCCAUUUACUCAAGGGAACUCGUCUCUUCAAAAGACGAGUUCCAUGAAAAAAAAUAUAUAUAUUUUAUUAAACAAAAAAAAAUAGUUGCUCAAGGGAACUCGUCUCUUGAAGAGACGAGUUCCCAUGGAAAUUUUUUUUUUUUUUUAAAAAUUCCCAAAUUAUAAAAAAAAAAACAAAAAAAAAAAAAAAACAAAAAACAAGCUCAAGGGAACUCGUCUCUUGAAAAAAAAAAUAUUUUUUUUUAAAAAAAUUCUCAAAUUAUUUAUAAAAAAAAACAUUUUUUUCCUCAAUGGAACUCGUCUCUUCAAGAGACGAGUUUCAUGAAAAUAUAUAUAUAUUUUUAAAAAAAUUCCCAAAUUUAAAAAAAAUAAUAAUAAAAAAAACAAUUCCUUAAGGGAACUCGUCUCUUGAAGAGACGAGUUCCAUGUAAAAAAAAAAUAUUUUUUUAAAAAAAUUCCCAAAUAAAAAAAAAAAUUUGCUAAAGGGAACUCGUCUCUUCAAGAGACCAGUUCCCAUGGAAAAAAAAAUAUUUUUUAUUUAAAAAAAAAAUUCCCAAAUUAAAAAAAAAAACAAUUCCUCAAGGGAACUAGUCUCUUCAAGAGAGACGAGUUACAUGUAAAAAUAAAUAAUUUUUUUAAAAAUAUAUAUAUAUAUAUAUUUAAAAAUUCCCAAAUAAAAAAAAGAAAAAAAAAUAAAGGAAUUUUUUUAAAAUAUAUAUAUAUAUUUAAAAAAAUUCCCAAAUUAAAAAAAAAAAAAAAAAAUUUCCUCAAGGGAACUCGUCUCUUGAAGAGACGAGUUCCCAUGGAAAAAAAUAAAAUAUAUAUAUUUAAAAAAAUUCCUAAAGGGAACUCGUCUCUUCAGUUCCCUCUUGAAGAGACGAGUUCCUAUGGAAAAAAAAAAAUAUAUUUUUUAAAAUAUAUUUUUUAUUUAAAAAGAAAUCCCAAAUUAAAAAAAAACAAAAAAUUCCUCAAGGGAACUCGUCUUUUGAAGAGACGAGUUCCCAUGUAAAAAAAAUAUUUUUUUUAAAAAUAUAUAUAUAUAUUAAAAAAAAAAAAAUUUCCUAAAGGGAUGAGUUCCCAUGGGAAUUUUUUUUUAAAUAUAUUUUUUAUUUAAAAAAAAAUCCCAAAUUUAAAAAAAUAAAAAAAUAAAUAAAUUUCCUAAAGGGAACUCGUCUCUUGAAGAGGCGAGUUCCCAUGGGAAAAAAAAAAUUUUAAAUAUAUUUUUUAUUUAAAAAAAAUCCCAAAUUAAAAAAAAAAAAAAAAAAUCAAUUCCUCAAGGGAACUCGUCUCUUCAAGAGACGAGUUCCCAUGGAAAAAAAAUAUUUUUUUUAAAAGUAUAUAUAUAUAUUUUUUUUAAAAAUUCCCAAAUAAAAAAAAAAAAAAAGAAUUUCCUCAAGGGAACUCGUCUCUUGUUCCUAUGAAAAAAAUUAGUUUUUUUUAAAAAAAUCUUUAAGGCAAUUAGUAGAGACGAGUUCCCAUGAAAAAAAAAAAAUUAAAAAAAUCUCAAAUUAAAAAUAUAUAUUUUCAAUGUCAUUAAAGCGGCUUUUUCUGCUUAAAAAUAAAAUUAUUUCAAACAAAAAUUAGAUUUUUAGGAUAUGAAAUUUUUAAAGGAUGACCUAUGUACUUUGUUAUCUCAAACAAAUCAUGGAGGAAUUGCUUUUGUUUUUUAUUUUUAAAUUUGGGAAUUUUUUUUUAAAUAAAAAAAAUAUUUUUUUUUCUAUGGGAACUCGUCUCUUGAAGAGACGAGUUCCCUUCAGCAACUGUUUUUUUUUUUUUUUAAUAAAAAAUAUUUUUUUUCAUGGGACGAGUUCCCUUGAGUAAAUGGGGAAUUUUUAAAAAUAUAUAUAUAUAUAUUUUUUCCAUGGAACUUGUCUCUUCAAGAGACGAGUUCCCUUUGUUUGAAAGAUGAUUUUUUUUUAAAAAUACAUAUAUUUGUUUUUUCAUGGAACUCGUCUCUUCAAGAGACGAGAGUUCCCUUUAUUUGAAAAGAUGAUUUUGGUUUUAAAAGAAUUUAUCCGUUCACCCUCUCUCCUCUCUCCUCUCUCCUAUCUCCUCUUUCCUAUGUGGCAAAAACUACCAUAUAUUUGUAAUAACUUCUUCUACUAUAAUAAUUUAAGCAUAACUUUUUUAAAUUACCGUACUAUUAAGAAAAUUCCCAAGAAAGAUUGAGAGGUCCAUGUGACAGGAAGAAAAAUUCCAGUUAGGAACAAGCUUGAUUUUCUUUUUAAUGUCAAAAUGAGGGUUAUAUGUGUAAUUUUCAAUGAUUCUUUAUAAAAUUGAAAGAAACAUCAAAGUUUCUGACAUGGGAAUGGGGACGCCAGUGGUGUCAUAAAUUUCCGUGUUUGCAAUUAUUUUAGAAAAAGUUGAAAAUUCCAGAACAACUUGAACGGCAUUGCAUCAUGAGGCAUGGGUAUAGAUAAGGAUGCUACGACAGCUUCCAUUAAUGUGUCAACAUGUCUCCGCUCCCCUGAGAGACAAGGGCAACGACACAUCAGCCAAAAUUUGUCCUUUUCGUUUGAGCUCCAUUUCAUUUGAAAUUGUUUACUUAGAAUCCAUCAAAUGUCGACGUCUCUUAGGUGGGAAACGGUCAAUUGCCAGGUACCUACUUCAAUUAUAUAUUCCUGUGAACCCCAUCUGUCAACCCAACCUAACCGGAAGGGCAAGAAGAAGUCUCUGGGAAACCAAAAGAAUGAGCUGGUGGUGGUCUGGAGCGAUUGGAGCUGCAAAGGCAAGUGAUUUCAAUCCCUCUUCAGUUCAAUUCUCCGUGGUUUCAGCUUUCUCUCUGUUUGGUUUAGGAAAAUAGAAGAGAAAAUGGAAGAGAAUUGGCUAUGAUUUCCUCACCCCAUUUGUGUGGUGGAGCUAAAAACUAAGUCAAUUCAAAACCCUCCUAAUCUUUCUUGUUUUCUGGCACAGAGGAAGCUCCAAGAGGAUGAGGCACACCCCACCAACUACCAGGGUGUUGGGCUGAUUGUAGGUGUCACCGGCAUCGUUGGUAACAGCCUUGCUGAGAUCCUUCCACUCCGGGACACUCCCGGCGGUCCCUGGAAGGUCUAUGGUGUCGCCCGCAGGCCUCAGCCGGCCUGGAACGCCGACAACUGUGUCGAGUACAUCCAGUGUGAUGUGUUUGACCCGGAAGAAACUUCGUCAAAGCUCUCCAAGCUGACUGAUGUCACACACAUAUUCUAUGUGACAUGGGCUAAUAUGGGCAGUGAAGCUGAGAAUUGCAGAGUUAAUGGUGAUAUGUUUAGGAAUGUUCUGAGUGCGGUGAUCCCAAAUGCCCCAAAUUUGCAGCACAUUUGCUUGCAAACUGGAAGAAAACAUUAUAUAGGUCCAUUUGAGGCUCUAGGCAAGAUUGAACCUCAUGAUCCUCCGUAUCAUGAAGAGAUGCCCAGAUUAGAUGUUGAGAAUUUUUACCAUGUACAAGAAGAUAUACUGUUUGAGGAGGUGAGGAAGAAGGAGGGCUUGACAUGGUCAGUGCACAGGCCUGGCGUCAUUUUUGGGUUUUCGCCUUACAGCAUGAUGAAUGCAAUUGGGACUCUGUGUGUCUAUGCCACAAUCUGCAAGCAUGAGGGUUUACCAUUAAGGUUUCCGGGAACCCAAGACACAUGGAAUGGAU